CUCAGUCUUUGUACUUGCAAAGCCAAUUGGCUUGUGUUAGAGCCUAGAGGUAUGCUGCUUUCUUAAUUUGUGCUUUUUUCGCCUCUACUCAAUUUACUUUUUUCAUCCCAUAGAUUUGAAAUUCACACUCUAAUUCCGGUAAUCAUUGAUUUGUUGCAAGUGAAUCGAACUCUGCUGGUCUCUGCUAUUCUUACUUUUUGGAGAUAGUCAGCCAUCUAUGAGUUAAGAGCUUUUUAUUUACUGUUUCUAUGAACAAAUUCACGCUCCCCUAGUGUGUUUGUCAUUAACAUAAAGCUUGUUACUAUUUCUAUUAUAAGUUCUAAUUUCAAAUGGGCUGUCAAGUUCUAUUUCUUGGGACAUUUUCCAUUGAACGUUUGGACCUGUCUAAAUUUGAUGCUCAUAAUUAAGGAUUAGGAACUUAAUUGUGUAGUCUCAAUAUCCAGUUAUCAUCUUGAACUAAGCUUUAUUUCAAGUACUGAAAUCUUUACAUGUCCAAACUUCUAAGAAUUCCAUAACUACCGGGGAGAUUUGGACAUGAUACCAAGUACUAAACAAAUUUUGUCAUGGUCACUGCAUGUGGAGGGUCUUUUGAAAAUGCAACAAGGUAGGUAGAAAAGGAUCAAAGAUGUAAAGUAAGCAUAGGCACAAUGUGAACUUUGAAGUUGUAACUUGGUAUGCGAAUGAGUUGACAACCAUAUGACAUGAUGAUUGGUUAUCAAUUUAGAUGCUAAUAGUGAGUGCAUUCAAUAUGAAUCUACAACUUCUUCUCGCUUAUCUAGCUUCUUGAUUCCUAUCAGUUUUGGAUAUUAUGAACGAAAACAGAUCAUUGCUUUCUUUCAGUAAAUAAAAAAAAAGUAAGUAAAAUGCUACUCAUGACAGAAACUACUACACCUCUUGAAGUGUGUCAUUAUCCUGCAAAUUUUAUUUUCAAGGUCUGGUUUGCACAAUCGAUAUAAAUUUCAAGUAGCUCAAGCUAUAGUAGUUUCAAAAGGUUUUAUAAAAGGUAUUUGCAAAUUAUAAAGAGAUAUUUUGAAAUAGUUCAAAGUGGUUUUUAGUAUUCACAAUUUUAAUACUCCGUACUUACUUGUUCGACUAUUACUUAGUGAAAGAACUUGAGAGAAUAUGGACAGAAAGAGCCGGAGCCUGAAGGCUAUCAACUGCCUACAGAUUGAUAGUACAUAGAUAUUAGCAGCAGUUAGCACUGGAUUAUGAUAUCUAAAUCUGUUAGAUCGGUUAUUGGUUUGGGCCAAGGUUAAUAAAUAACAGCUAUGGCGCCGCCAUGUUGGAUGGUGUUGGCGGAUUUCUGACUAAAUGCCACAGCAGUUAGCACUGGAUUAUGAUAUCUAAAUCUGUUAGAUCGGUUAUUGGUUUGGGCCAAGGUUAAUAAAUAACAGCUAUGGCGCCGCCAUGUUGGAUGGUGUUGGCGGAUUUCUGACUAAAUGCCACCGCCAUGGCACAGCGAGCAAGUAUAUCCCGAGCUUAUCGUUGUCGUUAUUGCAUCUGAUGCAACAAAGCAGUUCCUUAUUAAGAAUAAGAGCCCAGAGCUUCAGCUUUGUAAUCAUUCUUUGUUGCAUCUGAUGCAACAAAGCAUGUUUUGAACAUGCACCAAGGAAUCGCAGUGGCUAGGUUUCUUUUUCUUGAAAAAUGUUGGGAGCUACUUGUUGGUGUCUAGGAGCUUUCCAAACACAAUGGCUGCUUUUCAUUGCAUAACUAAAGCAGAACAAAGUGAAUACCUAAAUGUAGUUGAAGUUUGUGGUGGAAAACAUAGUUACUACUUACUAUAUUUAGGAGCAAGAUGUGGAGCCUUUGUUUUCUAGUUUCCAAUUAUAGUAUGAGCCGAAAGAGAUGUGUUUCUAGUUCCAAUCUUUACAGACUGCUUCCUAGACUGUUAAAGAUUGUCAUGACGACAGUUAGGUGGAGUAUUAUAUACAUAAGAAAUCUUGCUCUUCUUCAUUAUCCAGAAAUUAAUUCUUGGCACAUAGCGUGUUGCACGUGGUUUGCUUAAUCCAGGAAAUCGAAAAUCUGUUAGGAAAUGCAGAUCCUUGCAAGUAAAUUGAGAGAUUCCUCUCUUUGGGCUAGUCAUUUGUAGGAGCUACUUUUGAGAGUUGGCUGGGUGGUGGAGACGAGGACGAGGACGGAACGGGGAUGCAUAGGUGGGAGUAGGGGUGACCGUCUCUGCCUCCCAGUCCCAUCCAUAGGGCUUUAUCAAGUUGGAUAUGUAAAAUUGUUACUAUAGUAGCUGUUCUCUUUCUUUUCAUAAGAGGAAGGAGCAUCUUUAGAGAGGAUUAGAGGGAAGUGGGAAUUAAGUGCAUUGCAAUUAUGCGUCUGCACAGUUUUAACAAGGCUGGAUCACCGAGUGUAAGCAUGUGAGUGCACCUCACUAAUUAAUACUAUCAGAAUAUUUUACAGAUGUCUUUGAGAAAAACAUUUAAAUAUUAUGCUAUACGAUCUGCAUAAUAUGCAAUACGCAGUUAAUAUACUGCAUAAAUUUAUGCUAUUAAUAUAUGGACAAAGGAAAAAUAUUGCAAGAAUCGUACUUCCCUUGUGUGAUCAAAUAGUCUCUGGUUUAAUCCAUACAACUCUCUUACUUUUUUUUGUAAGUACAAAAUCCUACACCCUUAGCAAAGCAAAAGAAAAAACAUACCACCACAAAUAAAAAAACUCCACUAACCAAGAUAAAGAAAGGAUAUAUCAAAAUAAAGCACACCUGACUGACUGACUCAACAAAGCCAUGACAAAACUCUCCCUCAUCAAAUUAAAUGACAUAGAUAAUAAAAAUAGUAUGGAGGAAAGAAAGUAUUUGCCAAGUCGAGAGAAAUGGCAUUUAUAA